CGGAAUGCUUAACACAUGCAAGUCGUGCGGUAACACUUCGGGUGACGAGCGGCGGACGGGUGCGUAACGCGUGAGAAUCUACCUUUUAGUGGGGGACAACCCGGGGAAACUCGGGCUAAUACCGCAUAUGUCCUACGGGAUAAAGCAGGGGAUCUUCGGACCUUGCGCUAAAAGAUGAGCUCGCGUUAGAUUAGCUUGUUGGUAGAGUAAAAGCCUACCAAGGCAACGAUCUAUAGCUGGUCUGAGAGGAUGAUCAGCCACACUGGGACUGAGACACGGCCCAGACUCCUACGGGAGGCAGCAGUGGGGAAUAUUGGACAAUGGGGGCAACCCUGAUCCAGCAAUUCCGCGUGUGUGAAGAAGGCCCGAGGGUUGUAAAGCACUUUCAGUAGCCAAGAUGGGGUCUUACACUAAUAUUGUAAGAUCUUGACAUUAACUACAGAAGAAGCACCGG
rnacentral:rRNA from 1 species